UUUAAGAAAAGGUUUAUGGUUUAGAGGAAACAACACGGUUAAAGUUUUAGGUUUGAAAUUUAGAGUUUGUGGCGAAAUUGUCAGGGUUUAGGAAAAAUCAGGGUAGUUAGUUAUGAAAAAAAAUGUGCAGAUCUAAAUAUAUGUAUAUAUAUAAAAAAAAAUGAAUUAAAAAAAAACAACGGCGUUGCUAGCGCAAAAUUGCGAUCAUCGCAACUGGAUCGGAUAACACAAAUGUCACGCCUCAUACACGUAUAUGUGAAAACGGCGUAUUGACACGAUCCGAUCCGAAAACAUAAUCAAAUAUAUCAACAAAAUAGAUAAAGUAUAUAUCAUAUAUAAACUAUUACCAAACUGUGUGUACGAUAGUAUAGAUCAGCCACUCUCAGUUUCUCUUUUUUGUUCUGUC
rnacentral:lncRNA from 1 species